GGAGAAAGAUAUUCCUCAAAAAAGCAGGAAAAAAAAAAAGAAACUCCUUUGGAGAAAGAUAUGAGUUAUGACAAUUGUUUCAAUGGUAGGAAAGUUUUAACAAUGAUCGAUAGCCAUAUCAGUUCCUGCCAAUAUCUUUGCUUAUCCUGUGCACCAACCAAUUCAAGGCUGCUUACCUUAUCAAUGCAUUAUGAUAUAUAAAUGAGUGUGUGUGUGUGUGUGUGUGUGUGUGUCUUAUGCAACUUCUUUGGAGAAAGAUAUUCCUCAAAAAAAGCAGGAAAAAAAAAAAAGAAACUCUUUUGGAGAAAGAUAUGAGUUAUGACAAUUGUUUCAAUGGUAGGAAAGGUUUAACAAUGAUCAACAGCCAUAUCAGUUCAAUUCAAGGCUGGUUACCUUAUCAACGCAUUAUGAUAUAUAUAUAAGUGUGUGUGUGUGGCUGCUUACCUUAUCAAUGCAUUAUGAUAUAUAUGCAUGCACGUCCGUGUGCGUGUGCGUGCGUCCGUGUGCGUGUGCG
rnacentral:lncRNA from 1 species